UACUCGAACAAGUGACCACGUAAUCAGAUUAUUUUUGUUUAACGACAUAUCAACUUCCGAAUGGAAGCAGAUCGACAAAACCAGUAAGCCAUGAUGCAUCAGAAGAGUGUUUUGGGAGUAAGGCCGACUAACCUACGGUGUCCAUUAAUCCUUUCUGGCAACAGGAGAAAGUUGUUCUACUUCCUGCUGUUCCUCGGAUUUCUGUGAAUCUGCCUUCAUCAUGACGCAAUGCUGGAAAAUCUACCUGUUCGACAUGAUGGGUUGUGAACGAGAGAAAUUUAUAUGUUUGAAACUCCGAGGACGCCUGGCCAAUCAAAUGUUUGAUUAUGCCUUUCUGU